CAAUAGCGUAUAUUAAAGUUGUUGCAGUUAAAAGCUCGUAGUUGGAUUUCUGGUUUGAUGCCCUGGCCCGCUGCUAUUUUAGUAGUGUGUGCCGGUUGUGCGUCUGCCAUCCUUCUAGGGAACGUUCCUUCUCUUCACUGAGCCGGGUUCGUGAUCUAGAUCGUUUACUUUGAAAAAUUAGAGUGUUUAAAGCAGGCUUUUGCUAUGAAUACAUUAGCAUGGAAUAAUAAUCUAGGACUUCGGUGGCUAUUUUGUUUUGGUUUUCGUUGGUAACGUGAAGUAAAUAGAUUGUAUAGGGAGUAGUUGGGGGUUGGGCGUAGUAUUGUAGCGGCCGACGAGGUG
rnacentral:rRNA from 1 species